UAGGGAAUCUUCGGCAAUGGACGGAAGUCUGACCGAGCAACGCCGCGUGAGUGAAGAAGGUUUUCGGAUCGUAAAGCUCUGUUGUAAGAGAAGAACGAGUGUGAGAGUGGAAAGUUCACACUGUGACGGUAUCUUACCAGAAAGGGACGGCUAACUACGUGCCAGCAGCCGCGGUAAUACGUAGGUCCCGAGCGUUGUCCGGAUUUAUUGGGCGUAAAGCGAGCGCAGGCGGUUAGAUAAGUCUGAAGUUAAAGGCUGUGGCUUAACCAUAGUAGGCUUUGGAAACUGUUUAACUUGAGUGCAAGAGGGGAGAGUGGAAUUCCAUGUGUAGCGGUGAAAUGCGUAGAUAUAUGGAGGAACACCGGUGGCGAAAGCGGCUCUCUGGCUUGUAACUGACGCUGAGGCUCGAAAGCGUGGGGAGCAAACAGGAUUAGAUACCCUGGUAGUCCACGCUGUAAACGAUGAGUGCUAGGUGUUAGACCCUUUCCGGGGUUUAGUGCCGUGGCUAACGCAUUAAGCACUCCGCCUGGGGAGUACGACCGCAAGGUUG
rnacentral:rRNA from 1 species